rnacentral:rRNA from 2 species
GAUGAACGCCGGCGGUGUGCCUAAUACAUGCAAGUCGAACGCGUUAGCCCAAUUGAUUGAUGGUGCUUGCACCUGAUUGAUUUUGGCCGCCAACGAGUGGCGGACGGGUGAGUAACACGUAGGUAACCUGCCCAGAAGCGGGGGACAACAUUUGGAAACAGAUGCUAAUACCGCAUAACAGCGUUGUUCGCAUGAACAACGCUUAAAAGAUGGCUUCUUGCUAUCACUUCUGGAUGGACCUGCGGUGCAUUAGCUUGUUGGUGGGGUAACGGCCUACCAAGGCGAUGAUGCAUAGCCGAGUUGAGAGACUGAUCGGCCACAAUGGGACUGAGACACGGCCCAUACUCCUACGGGAGGCAGCAGUAGGGAAUCUUCCACAAUGGGCGCACGCCUGAUGGAGCAACACCGCGUGAGUGAAGAAGGGUUUCGGCUCGUAAAGCUCUGUUGUUAAAGAAGAACACGUAUGAGAGUAACUGUUCAUACGUUGACGGUAUUUAACCAGAAAGUCACGGCUAACUACGUGCCAGCAGCCGCGGUAAUACGUAGGUGGCAAGCGUUAUCCGGAUUUAUUGGGCGUAAAGAGAGUGCAGGCGGUUUUCUAAGUCUGAUGUGAAAGCCUUCGGCUUAACCGGAGAAGUGCAUCGGAAACUGGAUAACUUGAGUGCAGAAGAGGGUAGUGGAACUCCAUGUGUAGCGGUGGAAUGCGUAGAUAUAUGGAAGAACACCAGUGGCGAAGGCGGCUACCUGGUCUGCAACUGACGCUGAGACUCGAAAGCAUGGGUAGCGAACAGGAUUAGAUACCCUGGUAGUCCAUGCCGUAAACGAUGAGUGCUAGGUGUUGGAGGGUUUCCGCCCUUCAGUGCCGGAGCUAACGCAUUAAGCACUCCGCCUGGGGAGUACGACCGCAAGGUUGAAACUCAAAGGAAUUGACGGGGGCCCGCACAAGCGGUGGAGCAUGUGGUUUAAUUCGAAGCUACGCGAAGAACCUUACCAGGUCUUGACAUCUUGCGCCAACCCUAGAGAUAGGGCGUUUCCUUCGGGAACGCAAUGACAGGUGGUGCAUGGUCGUCGUCAGCUCGUGUCGUGAGAUGUUGGGUUAAGUCCCGCAACGAGCGCAACCCUUGUUACUAGUUGCCAGCAUUAAGUUGGGCACUCUAGUGAGACUGCCGGUGACAAACCGGAGGAAGGUGGGGACGACGUCAGAUCAUCAUGCCCCUUAUGACCUGGGCUACACACGUGCUACAAUGGACGGUACAACGAGUCGCGAACUCGCGAGGGCAAGCAAAUCUCUUAAAACCGUUCUCAGUUCGGACUGCAGGCUGCAACUCGCCUGCACGAAGUCGGAAUCGCUAGUAAUCGCGGAUCAGCAUGCCGCGGUGAAUACGUUCCCGGGCCUUGUACACACCGCCCGUCACACCAUGAGAGUUUGUAGCACCCAAAGUCGGUGGGGUAACCUUUUAGGAGCCAGCCGCCUAAGGUGGGACAGAUGAUUAGGGUG